CCUACGUGAUGCAGCAGUGAGGAAUAUUGGUCACUGGACUAGAGUCUGAACCAGCCAAGUAGCGUGAAGGAUGACUGCCCUAUGGGUUGUAAACUUCUUGUAUAAAUGAAUACAACGAGGCACGUGUGCCUUUUUGCAUGUACUUUAUGAAUAAGGAUCGGCUAACGCCGUGCCAGCAGCCGCUGUAAUACGGAGGAACCGAGCGUUAUCCGGAUUUAUUGGGUUUAAAGGGUGCGUAGAUGGGUUGUUAAGUCCAUUGGGAAAGUUUGCGGCUCAACCGUAAAAUUGCAAUUGAUACUUGCAGUCUUGAGUACAGUUGAGGGAGGCGGAAUUCGUGGUGUAGCGGUGAAAUGCUUAGAUAUCACGAAGAACCCCGAUUGCGAAGGCAGCUUACUAAACUGUGACUGACAUUGAUGCUCGAAAGUGUGGGUAUCAAACAGGAUUAGAUACCCGGGUAGUC
rnacentral:rRNA from 1 species